rnacentral:rRNA from 1 species
GACGAACGCUGGCGGCGUGCUUAACACAUGCAAGUCGAACGGAAAGGCCCUGCUUUUGUGGGGUGCUCGAGUGGCGAACGGGUGAGUAACACGUGAGUAACCUGCCCUUGACUUUGGGAUAACUUCAGGAAACUGGGGCUAAUACCGGAUAGGAGCUCCUGCUGCAUGGUGGGGGUUGGAUAGUUUCGGCGGUUGGGGAUGGACUCGCGGCUUAUCAGCUUGUUGGUGGGGUAGUGGCUUACCAAGGCUUUGACGGGUAGCCGGCCUGAGAGGGUGACCGGCCACAUUGGGACUGAGAUACGACCCAGACUCCUACGGGAGGCAGCAGUGGAGAAUAUUGCACAAUGGGCGGAAGCCUAAUGCAGCAACGCCGCGUGCGGGAUGACGGCCUUCGGGUUGUAAACCGCUUUCGCCUGUGACGAAGCGUGAGUGACGGUAAUGGGUAAAGAAGCACCGGCUAACUACGUG